rnacentral:rRNA from 1 species
GAUGAACGCUGGCGGCGUGCCUAAUACAUGCAAGUCGAGCGAACGGACGAGAAGCUUGCUUCUCUGAUGUUAGCGGCGGACGGGUGAGUAACACGUGGAUAACCUACCUAUAAGACUGGGAUAACUUCGGGAAACCGGAGCUAAUACCGGAUAAUAUUUUGAACCGCAUGGUUCAAAAGUGAAAGACGGUCUUGCUGUCACUUAUAGAUGGAUCCGCGCUGCAUUAGCUAGUUGGUAAGGUAACGGCUUACCAAGGCAACGACGCAUAGCCGACCUGAGGGGGUGAUCGGCCACACUGGAACUGAGACACGGUCCAGACUCCUACGGGAGGCAGCAGUAGGGAAUCUUCCGCAAUGGGCGAAAGCCUGACGGAGCAACGCCGCGUGAGUGAUGAAGGUCUUCGGAUCGUAAAACUCUGUUAUUAGGGAAGAACAUAUGUGUAAGUAACUGUGCACAUCUUGACGGUACCUAAUCAGAAAGCCACGGCUAACUACGUG